rnacentral:ncRNA from 2 species
UUAAUCUCAAAAAUGCUGGAUAUAAGGGAAGAGGGGUGAGAAUCCCCCGCUGCCCCGCAGCCGUGUAGGGAACGAAAGCCCAAUAAUGCCACUGUCUGCAAAUUGCAGAUGGGAAGGCGGGUAAGUAGGCAAUUUAGCCCUAAGCCGGAAGACCUAUCCAGCCUGAGAGCCCUUG